rnacentral:other from 1 species
AAGAGCCGAGGCUGUUUGUUGUUGUUUUGAAAAUUACCCACUGGUGAUUUAUAGGGAGUACGCGUUUCCGUGUCAAAUGGAAUGCCCGGAUUUAUCUGGGAUCACAGAAGCACGGAAUAGUCCACCCACCUGGUUGAGGUGUGGUGUAAUUUUUCCUAGAGACAACGGCAGCCUGGGCUUUUU